rnacentral:rRNA from 1 species
ACUCCUACGGGAGGCAGCAGUGGGGAAUAUUGCACAAUGGGGGAAACCCUGAUGCAGCCAUGCCGCGUGUGUGAAGAAGGCCUUCGGGUUGUAAAGCACUUUCAGUAGGGAGGAAGGUAGUGUAGUUAACACCUGCAUUAUUUGACGUUACCUACAGAAGAAGCACCGGCUAACUCCGUGCCAGCAGCCGCGGUAAUACGGAGGGUGCGAGCGUUAAUCGGAAUUACUGGGCGUAAAGCGCAUGCAGGCGGCCUGUUAAGUCAGAUGUGAAAGCCCGGGGUCUUAACCUCGGAAUUGCAUUUGAAACUGGCAGGCUAGAGUCUUGUAGAGGGGUUAGAAUUUCAGGUGUAGCGGUGAAAUGCGUAGAGAUCUGAAGGAAUACCGAGUGGCGAAGGCGGCCCCUGGACAAAGACUGACGCUCAGAUGCGAAAGCGUGGGAGCGAAACAGGAUUAGAUACCCCGUGGUAGACUGU